rnacentral:rRNA from 1 species
GGCGCACGGGUGAGUAACGCGUAUGCAACCUACCCUGUACUGGGGGAUAACCCGGAGAAAUUCGGACUAAUACCCCAUAAUGAUAUUUGGAGGCAUCUCUUUAUAUUUAAAGUUCCGACGGUACGGGCUGGGCAUGCGUAACAUUAGCUAGUUGGCAGGGUAACGGCCUACCAAGGCUGCGAUGUUUAGGGGUCCUGAGAGGGUGAUCCCCCACACUGGUACUGAGACACGGACCAGACUCCUACGGGAGGCAGCAGUGAGGAAUAUUGGUCAAUGGGCGCAAGCCUGAACCAGCCAUCCCGCGUGAAGGAAGAAGGCGCUAUGCGUUGUAAACUUCUUUUCCAGGGGAAUAAAAUGGUGUACGUGUACGCCACUGAAGGUACCCUGGGAAUAAGCAUCGGCUAACUCCGUGCCAGCAGCCGCGGUAAUACGGAGGAUGCAAGCGUUAUCCGGAUUUAUUGGGUUUAAAGGGUGCGCAGGCGGAUUGGUAAGUCAGUGGUGAAAUCCUGCAGCUUAACUGUAGAAUUGCCGUUGAUACUGUCAGUCUUGAGUAUGGUC